rnacentral:lncRNA from 1 species
CAUGGAGACCUCCAACACCGCUCUCCACUACGUGCCUCUUCUCCUGCUUAAGAACCUGGACGUCUUAGACGAGCUGGGCUUAUGGUGAAUGUGAUUGGGGACAGUCAAGGGUCUCUGAGGCCAUGCUGGAAGGUUGUUGGGUGAUGAACGAAGACAUCUGUCCUGAUCAGUCUGAAAAAUAAAAAAUCCACCUCUGUAAGGAUUUGUAACUUAUAAUGAAGUUUUGCUGCCAACAGAGCUCUUUGAAAUUGACAAGGACACUACUGUGUACACCAUCCUGAGCUCUGUCCUCCACGACCCAUACCACUUUGAGAAGCCAGAUGCUUUCCAUUCUGGCCACUUCCUGGAUUUGGAGGGCAACUUCAGGAAGCAAGAAGCCUUCAUCCUAUUCUCCAUGGGAAAACAUCUGUCUGGAGAAGAGGUUGGCUCACUUAGAGUUCUUCCUCUUCUUGACCUUGAUGCUGCAGAACAUCCCUUUGGUCUCUCCUAAGACCCUGGAAGACAUCAACCUAACAUCAAAGAAGAACAGGUUGUCCUGAAGAGGUUAAACCUUCACAAUGUUCCAUAACAUUCCGAAGUCAUGUGCCACUCCAAAAGCAUAAUGGCUGAGGUAUACAUAUCUGCGAACUGGUCUUCAGCCAACUGACAACCUCAAGUUAAAGUAAUUCAUUGUGGUUGUUGUGCUGAUUUUAUUUCUGGUAAAUAAGUACUCUCAAUUGUGCCCACUGAAGAAAUUUCUGCAUAUCCAGCUUGGUAAUGUCCUUCCUCAUCCUUUAAGUAAGACCUGUCUUUAAACCAACUUAAAUCAGCAUUCUCAGUAGGAAUUUCUUGUGAGUCAUUGCUAAGAGCAAGAAGGUAAUCUGUUAUUAAAAUACAGUCGUG